AUUGAACGCUGGCGGCAGGCCUAACACAUGCAAGUCGAGCGGAUGAAGGGAGCUUGCUCCUGGAUUCAGCGGCGGACGGGUGAGUAAUGCCUAGGAAUCUGCCUGGUAGUGGGGGAUAACGUCCGGAAACGGGCGCUAAUACCGCAUACGUCCUGAGGGAGAAAGUGGGGGAUCUUCGGACCUCACGCUAUCAGAUGGGCCUAGGUCGGAUUAGCUAGUUGGUGAGGUAAAGGCCUACCAAGGCGACGAUCCGUAACUGGUCUGAGAGGAUGAUCAGUCACACUGGAACUGAGACACGGUCCAGACUCCUACGGGAGGCAGCAGUGGGGAAUAUUGGACAAUGGGCGAAAGCCUGAUCCAGCCAUGCCGCGUGUGUGAAGAAGGUCUUCGGAUUGUAAAGCACUUUAAGUUGGGAGGAAGGGCAGUAAGUUAAUACCUUGCUGUUUUGACGUUACCAACAGAAUAAGCACCGGCUAACUUCGUG
rnacentral:rRNA from 1 species